CAAAGUCAAAUACAGGCGCCUCCUACCCCAGGGAACUUUGGCCCCAGCCCUGCCUGAGCCCAGAUCAGACAGAGGACGACAAGAGAAGGUGUGUAGCCUGGUGGGGAGGCAGCUGUGAUGAGGUUUGGCAGAGACAGAACAGCCUAGCCUACUCCUGGCCUGUGAGCUGAGGGGACAGAACAGAUGGGAAUGGCCGAAGUCACUGGUCAGUAGGCUCUCUGAAGCUCUGCCUGUUGACAUGUAUCAAUAAGAAUGGAGGGUCCCACUCUUGGCAGGAGAAUCUCUGUCGAUGACAAUGAGGAAAUGCCCUCCAAAGCACUAUGGGUAAAGAGACAUCAUACAUAUACGUGCGGACUCAAUUAUGUCUUUGCAACCCCAUGGACUGUAGCCUGCCAGGCUCCUCUGUCCAUGGAAUUCUCCAGGCGAGACUGCUGGAGUGAGAUACCAUUUCCUUCAGGGAAUCUUUCCAACCCAGAGGUCGAACCCGAGUCUCUUGUAGCUCCUGCAUUGGCAAGUGGAUUCUUUACCAAUUGCCCCACGUGGGAAGCCCUCAACAUAGAUUGCAACUUAUUACCAAAUACAGAGAUAGAAGGAUACAGCAAAUGCGGUUUAAAGAAAAAAGAAGUGUUAACAACGGGGAGUCUGGAUAUACAGGAAUUCUCUGUACUAUCCUGGAAAUAUUCUGUACAUCUUAAGGUAUGUCAAAAUAAAAAUAAAUAAAUGUUCUAAUCCAUUGGUAGUAUUCAUGAAGUUCUUACUAAUGAAAUUAUAUGAUGUCCGGGUAGGGGAUGGUAGAAGGCAAUGGAUACAACAAGCUUAACAAAAUGUUUCUAAUAUAAUUGGACUUCCUUGAUGAUUGGUUAAGGCUCCCUGGUCAGGGAAGUUCCACAUGUCACACAAUGUGACCAAAAUAAAUAAAAUAAAAUAUAUUUACCUUGCAAAAUAUUUAUAAUUGCUAAAGGCAAAUGGAGAUGGAGGAUUUCUUGGUCUUAAAAUCCACCUGGGUGGUUUCUGCCCCAGGGCCUUUGCUACUCUUUCGGCAAGCAAAACGUCCUUUGUCUCUACUUCCUUCACUUCCAUUCAAAGUUCAGCUCAAGCGUUACCCUUUCCCUUCUAUUCCUCCCAGGCUUCAUUUGCAUGUGUAUCAGAGACUGCAGACUGAGUAGCCUCGAGAAACAGGAUGGAGCAAGGUUCACAAAAACAAUGAUACCUUGCAGAGAGUAAACUGGGUGCCAGGCAUGUUCUGAGGGCUUUGUGGGUAUUUAAGUUAAUCAUAUUCAAUUCUCAGGACAACCCCAGGAAUUAGCUAACGCUAUUCAGCUUCCUACUACAGAUGAGAAGACCUAGAUGCAGAGAGACUGAGUAACUUGCCCAAUGUUACAAGCAAGGAGUGACAGAAAACCCGGGCAGGCAGACACCAGAUCUAGACCCUCAGAGGUUUCUGCACCAGCCAGUCACAGGCGGAUUCUUCACCAGCUGACCUAGGCACCAGUCUUAGAAGCUGAACAGAAAUUGGGGAUAGGAGCCACGGCUGACUGGUUGAGCAACAGAUUAUCCAGUUUCCCCAGGGAUAUUUCACCUGGAUCUCGGACAAGAUCUGGGUAGCACUUGAGCAUCCCCAUGCA